GACGAACGCUGGCGGCGUGCCUAAUACAUGCAAGUCGAACGGAAAGGCCCGGUUCUUGUGGGGUGCUCGAGUGCCGCGCGCGUGUGAGUAACGCGAGUAACAUGCCCUUGUCUUCGGGGUAAAAUCUGGGAACACGGGUGCAUAUAGGGCAUAAGAUCUUUAAGCACGGUGGGGAUGGGAGAGAUUCGGCGGUUUGGCAUGGAAUCGCGGUCUAUCAGCUUGUUGGUGGGGUGGUGGCGUACCAGGGCAUUGACGGGUAGCCGGAUUGCGAGGGUGACCGGCCACAUAGGGACUGAGAUACGGCCCAGACUGCUACGGGAGGCAGCAGUGGGGAAUAGUGCACAAUGGGCGGAGGGCUUGUGCAGCAACGCCGGGUGCUGGAUGACGGCCUUCGGGGUGUAAAGCGGGUGCGCCUGGGACGAUGCGUGAGUGACGGUAAUUGGUAAGGAAGCACCGGCUAACUACGUG
rnacentral:rRNA from 1 species